CAUGUGUUCUUUGCCGUGGGGUCAUGCGGUCCCAUUUACCCUCAACCCAUCCCUCUUGUAGUCUUGUGCUCGUGCCCCCGGAGAGGAGGCGGCGGCGGCGGCGGCGGCGACCGAAGCAGCGGAGUGGAAGGCAGGGCCGUGGGGUGUCUUCUCAGCGGCCGCGCCUCCGGCGUGUCGUUGGCUGCCCUAUGGCCGUGGCCGUCGUCUUGUGCUGGCGGUUGCACCCGGCGGCGGCCGGGAAGACUCGUCUGCAGUGGGAGGUGCGGGCGAGGGUGUGGGUGACCUACUGGCCCAACAAGAAGCGGACGCCGCCGCUGCACACGGAGACGAGGAUGCUUGAGGUCAGGGAGCUGCUGCAGCUCACCCUAGCAUAGUAGGCAAAACAUUCCAUCUGCUUGACCGCUCGGAUGCGCCCCGCCGGCGGCGGCAUCCACUUCCGAUCCGCCCCACCGCCGUCACCAUUUGUGCCGCCGCUGCCGCCAUCCAAUUCCGCCCCACCGCAGUCACCAUUAACGCCACUGCCGCCGGUCGCUAGCAGAUCCACCACUCUCGUUGCCAGCGGAUCUGCAGGCUUCUUGUCUCAUCCCCCCUCUUGUCGCCGUCGAGUCUUCCAACCCCAACCUCAAGAACAGCAUUGAAUCAACGACGACGGCAGCUGCGAUGGUGUGCGCCUAGGUGUGAGAUCUUCCUUAAUAACGAAUGAAUUAGAUGAAGAUGUUUCUCCUACUGAAUUUGUUGGUAUUUGAGAUGUUGGGGCAAAGAACCUCGGGAAGGUCAUCAUGCCGGACAACUGAAGGAGGGCGCCAGCAACACAAACGAGAAUAACAGGCCCUCGGUGGUGGAAUCCAAAACUGAGAACACUAAAGAAUAAGUCACAAUGGAAACGUGGUUUGCUUUCUCUUGGCUUUCCAAGAAACAAGCACUUUGGCUUUGCAUUCCUAGGACUUUACCUAGCUGUCUGUUCAAAGGAGUGAGUUGCCACUAUCUUUACCUUGGCUCCAUGUAUUUUGUUCAGCUAGCUUCAUCUUGUGAUCACCAGUUAUCUUUUUAGAGAUUCAUCCUCUCAUAACCAUCUCUAAUUUGUCAAUCAUGUUGUUGGUGUCUAGACUCGGUGGUCCGGCACCAACUAGUGAUGCUGCUGUGUGUUCCUACCCUAAAUGGUUGAUGUAAGAGGUAACACAUGAACGCAAGGGUUUAUCCUGAUUCCGGCCACGGGGCCGUACGUCUA